rnacentral:rRNA from 1 species
CACGGAGGGUGCAAGCGUUAUCCGGAAUCACUGGGUUUAAAGGGUGCGUAGGCGGGAAGAUAAGUCAGAGGUGAAAGCUCGUCGCUUAACGACGGAAUUGCCUUUGAUACUGUUUUUCUUGAAAUGUGUUGAGGUUGGCGGAAUGAGACAUGUAGCGGUGAAAUGCUUAGAUAUGUCUUAGAACACCGAUUGCGAAGGCAGCUGACUGGACACUAUUUGGCGCUGAGGCACGAAAGCGUGGGGAUCAAACAGG